rnacentral:rRNA from 1 species
UACGUAGGGUGCAAGCGUUAAUCGGAAUUACUGGGCGUAAAGCGUGCGCAGGCGGCUUUGCAAGACAGAUGUGAAAUCCCCGGGCUCAACCUGGGAACUGCAUUUGUGACUGCAUGGCUAGAGUACGGUAGAGGGGGAUGGAAUUCCGCGUGUAGCAGUGAAAUGCGUAGAUAUGCGGAGGAACACCGAUGGCGAAGGCAAUCCCCUGGACCUGUACUGACGCUCAUGCACGAAAGCGUGGGGAGCAACAGG